rnacentral:rRNA from 1 species
UACAGAGGGUGCGAGCGUUAAUCGGAAUUACUGGGCGUAAAGCGUGCGUAGACGGUUACGUAAGUUAGGUGUGAAAGCCCCGGGCUCAACCUGGGAAUUGCAUUUAAGACUGCGUAGCUAGGGUGCGGAAGAGGGAAGCGGAAUUUCCGGUGUAGCGGUGAAAUGCGUAGAUAUCGGAAGGAACAUCAGUGGCGAAGGCGGGUCCCUGGACAACACCUGACACUGAGGCACGAAAGCUAGGGGAGCAAACAGG